rnacentral:lncRNA from 1 species
CUUCUAGAUUAUUAAAUCCCAAAUAUAAUUCUCUGAGUUGUGUCAGAUUUCCAAUACUUCUUGGAAUGAUCCCCGUCAAUUGAUUCAAGGACAAGGACAAAUUUUUAAGGUUGCUGCACUUGCCCAUACUUGACGGAAUGUUACCAGAUAACUCAUUGCUAUGCAAGUAAAGCACUUCAAGCUUGGGAAGAUGUUGACACAUAUCAUUAGGCAAACUACCUAAUAGGCUAUUGUUGGAGAGAACAAUGGUCUUCAGAGAAGAAAUGUUGAAGAUCGAAUUUGGAAUCUGACCUGUAACGCCUUUAAUUGCUUGAAUAUUAAGCAAUUCCAAACCAUGAAGAUUACCGAUUUCCUCAGGAAUUUGACCUGCACACAUAGUCGAAAAAUCAAGGUGUCAAACUACCUAUUUUGUUAGCAGAAGUCAAAGAGGUUUUCUUUUCUGUUCUAUAGUAAUUUGGAGAUGUUAGAUUUUCAUAUAUUUCAGCAUAUGUUUUUCAUCAAAUGAAAUAAAAACUUUUUCCUUUUGUUAUCUAUUACAAAUCAAACUCUUUUAUAAAAAAAAUACUUAAAAUUCAAGAAAUCAAGGAAAUUGAUUACCUUCUAGAUUAUUAAAUCCCAAAUAUAAUUCUCUGAGUUGUGUCAGAUUUCCAAUACUUCUUGGAAUGAUCCCCGUCAAUUGAUUCAAGGACAAGGACAAAUUAUUAAGGUUGCUGCACUUGCCCAUACUUGACGGAAUGUUACCAGAUAACUCAUUGCUAUGCAAGUAAAGCACUUCAAGCUUGGGAAGAUGUUGACACAUAUCAUUAGGCAAACUACCUAAUAGGCUAUUGUUGGAGAGAACAAUGGUCUUCAGAG